rnacentral:misc_RNA from 1 species
GAUGAAGAACGCAGCGAAAUGCGAUACUUGGUGUGAAUUGCAGAAUCCCGUGAACCAUCGAGUCUUUGAACGCAAGUUGCGCCUCAAGCCAUUAGGUUGAGGGCACGUCUGCCUGGGCGUCACAUAUCGUUGCCUGAUGCCAGUUUCCUCGUGAUGGGUGACUGUGCAGGGCGAAUGAUGGCUUCCCGUGAGCAUUGUUGCCUCAUGGUUGGUUGAAAAUUGAGUCCUUGGUAGGGAGCGCCGUGAUAGAUGGUGGUUGAGUGACGAACGAGACCCAAUCAUGUGAGACCCCUACCGAAUUUGGCCUUCAUGACCCACAUGCGUCUUUGGAACGCUCAUGACGAGACCUCAGGUCAGGCGGGGCUACCCGCUGAGUUUAAGCAUAUUCAAUAAGCGGAGGA